GUUUAGGAUUGUGUCAAGCCCCAAGUGAGUGUGCUCUGCUUGUCCUACUCUCCAAAAAUCAUCUGCUUCACUUCAAUGGGAACAGACUAUUCGUCUUUCGUGCAGUUAUCCUGCUUCCUUCAGAAGGUGCCUGGCACAUCACAAUAUACCUUCACAGGCAAUAGUGAACUAAGAGGAUGUGACUUCUUUCAUUUUACAUGCUAAGCUCAGACCUCAGGUGCUACCACCAAGUUCCGAGACGUGGGCAUAGACUCAGACCCAUCUCAGCUUUGGAACUGAGCACUGUCUCUGUGAGGAGCUGCUGCCUAAAGUGAAUAAUCCCUCUGGACUCCAUCAUCAGCAUCCACAGGAUUAUGCUAAUGCUGACCAAAGACUUUGUGAAACCAAAAAGUAUACAGCAACUAUUUCAGCUCUUUUGUGAAAACUUAAAAAAAUACAAAGCUCAUGGGUCUCUACAUCCAGUAGGUGCUGCUGAAUUUCCAC